rnacentral:rRNA from 1 species
UACGUAGGGUGCAAGCGUUAAUCGGAAUUACUGGGCGUAAAGCGUGCGCAGGCGGUUUUGUAAGUCUGUCGUGAAAGCCCCGGGCUCAACCUGGGAAUUGCGUUGGAGACUGCAAGGCUAGAAUCUGGCAGAGGGGGGUAGAAUUCCAAGUGUAGCAGUGAAAUGCGUAGAGAUGUGGAGGAACACCGAUGGCGAAGGCAGCCCCCUGGAUCAAGAUUGACGCUCAUGCACGAAAGCGUGGGGAGCAAACAGG